rnacentral:rRNA from 1 species
CCGGUAGUCCAUACCGUAAACGAUGGGUGCUAGUUGUUAAGAGGUUUCCGCCUCCUAGUGACGUAGCAAACGCAUUAAGCACCCCGCCUGAGGAGUACGGCCGCAAGGCUAAAACUUAAAGGAAUUGACGGGGACCCGCACAAGCGGUGGAGCAUGUGGUUUAAUUCGAAGAUACGCGAAAAACCUUACCAGGUCUUGACAUACCAAUGAUCGCUUUUGUAAUGAAAGCUUUUCUUCGGAACAUUGGAUACAGGUGGUGCAUGGUCGUCGUCAGCUCGUGUCGUGAGAUGUUGGGUUAAGUCCCGCAACGAGCGCAACCCUUGUUAUUAGUUGCCAGCAUUUAGUUGGGCACUCUAAUGAGACUGCCGGUGAUAAACCGGAGGAAGGUGGGGACGACGUCAGAUCAUCAUGCCCCUUAUGACCUGGGCAACACACGUGCUACAAUGGGAAGUACAACGAGUCGCAAACCGGCGACGGCAAGCUAAUCUCUUAAAACUUCUCUCAGUUCGGACUGGAGUCUGCAACUCGACUCCACGAAGGCGGAAUCGCUAGUAAUCGCGAAUCAGCAUGUCGCGGUGAAUACGUUCCCGGGUCUUGUACACACCGCCCGUCAAAUCAUGGGAGUCGGAAGUACCCAAAGUCGCUUGGCUAACUUUUAGAGGCCGGUGCCUAAGGUAAAAUCGAUGACUGGGAUUAAGUCGUAACAAGGUAGCCGUAGGAGAACCUGCGGCUGGAUCACCUCCUUUCUAAGGA